rnacentral:lncRNA from 1 species
AGGUUUAAUGCAGGUGGGUCAUGGCAUGACGAAUUUCACAGGCACCGGGGACAGCAGGCGGCCAGGUGCUCAGAGGGCACCAAGGUGCCACAACUCCCUGCAGCGUUGACACCGCACGAGCGGCACCACCAGCCCCCUCCCGCCUCCCGUCCCACCUUCACCCUCAGCCAAGAGGCUUGGGUGACUCUGAGUAAUACGUUAACAAAAAACAAAGCUUCUUUGAGGAAACAGCAUGACUUAGUGCAAAAGAUUCUCUGCAGCAAGAAAUGAGGCCCACGCAGGGAAGCUCCCGCCUACCUGCCCAGGGCGUGGACGCAGCCCGGGCUCAUCAGAGGUCAUCCACAGAAGCUGCCGAUAAAUUAGAGAGCACGGUUUACGGCCAGAGAUUUUUUGCUUUCUCUACCUGAUUUAGGGUUUUUCAAAAAGUUUCUCUUCCAGUGGCACACAACUGUCCUCAUGGCUCCUGGGCCACUGGUCCGCCUGACAGGGUAGGGUCACAAGUCCCACCCAUGCCCAGAGUGUGGGGACAUGGAUUUGAGGUGACACUAGGGUUGUCAGUACCACACCCUGUGUCCUGCUCUAGGGUAGCCUCUGCCUGUUGUCCUUGCAAUCAUUAUUCAGGGCGCCCUCCCACUUGCCCCCAAAGUCACACGGCCAUGGGCAGUCCACCAUAGUGCUGCCGUGACUGCAAGGCUGAGGAGCAGAGCAAGGGGUCCUGGGUGAGACCUCGGCCCAUGGUGGCCACCCUCCCUGAACACAGGCAUCUGCGCCCCUCCAGCCCACCUGCCCCUGUGCCAUCAUUUGGGCUGGCUGGGGACUCAGGACCCACACAGCCC